AGCAAGUUAUUGUUAGGGCAGGGAGGAGGACAGUACACUUGUUAUCAGGUAUCGUAUAUAUACAUGCUGUGCUCAUCUCCCUCAUUAAUUCCAGAUCAACACUACAGACUAAGAAGGUAAGAAGGAUAUUGUCAGACUAUUUUUACAGUACUUUUAGUCAUAUAUAUAUCGACACGCACACAUUCAUUAUCAUUAAUUAUUUUUUUAUUACUGUCAGUUUGAUAAAGACACAAAGAUGGUAUCCCGCACGUUGGUUCUGAUCAUGUUUUUAGGUGCCCUCUGUGUUGCCCAGGCACUGAGGUGCAACUACUGCCAGAAGAUUGACAAAGACCAUCCCACCUGUAAUGAGAUAGAGGAGAAAGAAUGCAGCAGUGGAUUUGACAAUUGCAUUACAAUCAAAAUGCAUCAUCCAGCCUAUGGUGAGGUGCGCAGAUGUGCCAAAACUAAUGAGUGUGAUGCUCAGGUGCCUCCUCAGGUGGAGAAAGUGUGCUGCAACACAGAUCUCUGCAACUGAUCUGCUUCAUCAGCCAAAUAUAUUUUACAAUGAUCUGUUUUUAUCUCAUGCUACAUAAAAUGUUCAAAACAUACAGCUAUCAUUGUUAUUAAUUGACUUUAAUUUAAUAUAUGUAAAUGCAAGUAGAGAAUAAUAUAAAGAAAUAAACUCUGGCCAGCAAAACAAAAAACAAUGAUGAUUCUUUGUGUUUUCUAAAACAUUUUAUCUUCUUGUACAU
rnacentral:lncRNA from 1 species